UACACCCUUUCUACAACGAUGAUUAACUUUUGACCUUAUUUUUUUAAUGUUAAUAACAUAUUCAAACCUUUUAUUUUUAUUUAUAGGUUGUAGAAAACAUAUUUUGGUUAAAAUCUUUUUAUGAUAACAAAAAGUCUUUGUGUUGGCGUAUACCAAAAGCGCUCUAGUAUUCAGUUUUGAAAGUUGCUACUUUCAAAAAUUUAGAUCUUUGAAAACUGAAUAGCAUAUAAAAUUAAUAUGAUAACGACAUCAAAAUAUUUGUAAAAUAAUUUUGAUCCGAGUUGAUCUCGAAAGAGAUCUAAUAGAAAACCUUAAGAUAUAACACAUCAAAAAAAAUAUUAACUUUUUUAAUAGGAUAAUUAAAAAAUAGUUACUUAA
rnacentral:misc_RNA from 1 species